GCCUGGGUGGCUUAGUCAGUCAAGCAUCUGACUUCAGCUCAGGUCAUGAUCUCAUGGUUCGUGAGUUAGAGCCCCGCAUCAGGCU
rnacentral:tRNA from 1 species